UUUGGGCUAUGGGGGGUGUUCUUCGAAAAAAAAGGAAGAAGGAAACAGAGCAAAACCAGGGGAAGAGAGAGAGAGAGAGGGAGAGGGAGAGAGAAAAUAGGAUGAAGUGGGAGGAACCUGCAGAAGCAGAGGAAUCUCCGUGCAUGUCCCUGAAAGCCCAAUCCUGUGGUCACCUGUUUCCUUUCCAACCUCUCUUUCUCGGAGAUUUUGGUUAUAGGUUUGAAGGUUAAACUAUUUGAGGAAGUUUCAUGGGAUUUAUUUGCAUCUAAGACUUGAAACGAGGUAGAUUUCUCCAAAUUAGUCGAGUUAGCCAAUAUACUUAAAUUUUUGUGUUUUGCUUGCUUGAGGCUUGACUUGUGUGAAAAUUAGUUAAAUUUGAUGAAGCUAGUGAGUCUUACGAACUUGAAUGGGUAUAGAUGUGGUCGUGAACUAUGUAUAGUUCCUCACGGUUGAGUUUGCUUGAUUUUAGAUUGUUGCACUUGAGUUGAUAGUUUUCUUGGGUUGGACAGGAUCAAGUUUAUUUUUCUUGCCUAGACAAGUUUUGGGUUGAGCUACUUGCUUAUUGCCUUGAAUAAAUUCUGAAAUGAAAUAAGAGGAAUACGAAAUGAAAUUGAGCGCAGAGUGAGUGGUCAACUAUGGUCAAGAUUGAUGAAAUUGCAUUGGGGAACUUUUAAGAUACUAAUGACGGUUAUAAAAUGUCAAAUAAACUAACUAAUGGCAAGAUGUAUAGUGAGCUAAUAUUUAGGUGGUGGAAUUGGCUGUGAUGGCAAUGGCAGCAGGGAAUUUCAUUUUGUCUUGAAUUAUUAAGCAUUUUUUUCCAGUGACGAUUGAUUAUCUAUCUAUAAGUUGGAGCCCAUGCGUUUUAACGACUUUUCUUUGAGGAUGAUGGGGUCCCAUUUGUCAGUAUGAACUUGGUAAAUAUGGAGUACGAACUUGAUAUAACUUAAAGAUUGUCAUGCUUAUGGGAUAUAGAGACCGAAGAGGCAAUAGUUGCAGAGCAUUGAUGAAGGGGUUGAACUUAUAUACUUAGUUGUAUUCUUCCUAUACGAUUUGGGUUAGUUAGUUGAAGUAAGUGAGUUUUUCAUAGCUUAAGUACGGGUGUCUAAUGAGUUUAGUGAAGUUAGAGUUAUCUCUUGUUAGAGUGAAUUUAGUCAUGUCUAGAGCCGAAGGAAUUCGAUUAGAUGAAUUUGAUUGAGUUUUCGAAGUUUUGACAAAGGAUUCGAAUUUACAUUCUUAAUUUAUACUUGACAAUUUCUAUUGAUUGCAAUUGUUUGGGUGAAAGUUUGAUCAUGGGGGUAGAGGAAGUUUUAUUUUUAAUGUUCUCAUUCGUAGAUUAAUGGGGGACUUGUUUAGUAAAGUAUUCCUCUGCUUUAUGUAAAGUGGGAACAAUAGUUUGACAGAACUAACAUGUAUAUUAUGAUAUUAUUUUGCAUAUUAGGUGAUAUUUUAUUAUUGUAAUGGAUAGGGAUCGAGGAGACCGAAUAUCUGGAUUCUAAAGGCUCGAGCCAGUGAACUAUUCUUUUGGGAAUUAUCUGUGAAUACUUCAUUGCAUUGUGAAAUGAUAUAUAUAUAUAUAUAUAUAUCUGUGUGUGUGUGUAUAUAUGUGAGUACUCUAUUCCCUUGUAAAAUGAUGUAUUAUAUAUAUAUAUAUAUAUAUAUAUUAUCUAAGAAGAAUAUUGUGAUAGUUAGAUAUUAAGAAAUCGGUCUUGCUAGGUUGUGUGAAUUGAUGUGGGAGAUAUUGCCCUUUUUGUUUCACUUUGACAUGUGAUAUGUGGCGUGAUAGUAUGUAUAUGUUGAUUAUAUAGAAGAUAUGUGAUGAUAUUGUGAUAAUUUGGAAAUAGGAAAUUGGGAUGGAUACAUGAGGAUGCUAAUUGUGUAUGGGAUGUGUCAUGUGAAUAUGCUCCCAUUGGAAUGUGAUUGAGAUUGCGCUUGUGUAUAAUGCUAUAUGAGGUGAGAUGGCAUGGUUGCGAUUGUUUAUGCUUGUGAUUGUUAUUUGAUUAUAGCCAUGGGACCGCUGAUCCGGCGGUAUAUAAAUAGGACGCCUAAACCGCUGAUCCGACGGGAUACAAAAAGGGAUGCCUAGAUCACUGAUCCGGCGGGAUAUAAAAUGGUCGCCUAGACUCCUCCUAUCGGAGGAUAAUGGACAGUCCCCGCUUAUGAGACAUGGAUAUUGGGAGUUGAUGAUGAUAUGAAUGAGAUGUGUGGGUCACGGUACCGUCAUAACUCUGUUGCUAGAAAAUGCAACCCUAUGGCUAUAUUGAUUGGUUGUGUUGUAUAUUAGUUGUCUGGUAUGUUUGUUGGUGAUGUGAUGAGUGUUGAGAUUGUCUGAAGAUGUUCUGUAAAAGCCGUGUUGUUGCUAGAGUUUAGUCUGUCAAGUGAUUGUGUUGUGAAUUUCUAUGGAAUGCUGAUGAAUGGAUAUUUGAUGUUUACGUGAUAUUGGAUGUUAGGGAAAUGGUUGGAAGAGUUGUGUUUGUAUUUCUUAGUAGAACCUAAAUUUAGUUACUAUAUUGGAUAUAAUUAUUAAUAUAGUUGUGUGUGUGUAUAUAUAUAUACCGUAUAUGUGUGCGAUGAGUUGAUAGUUGGAUUCGAUGUGACUGUAUUAUUUAUUUGAAUAUUUGGUGGGUUGCAAUUAAAUAUUUAUUUAAUAAUAAGUCAUUUUGCUUUGAAAUAUAGUAUUCACUAAGAUGCAGCACACGCCCUGCAUAUAUUUUUCCAGAUAAGCUUCUAACUGCGCGGAAGAACCACUUUUUGAUAUCGGGGAUCAGCUCGGAGAACUAGGGUUGAUCUCGGCUGUGACUGCCCGUUAGAUGACAACAAUUCUGGCUUCAGGGAGUUCCUCCAUGAGCAGCACCUGCCGCUGUAUCCGACAUCGUCUACCUUUCUGAGGAAGAUGAGGCCCCCGAGGAACCAGAGGAGGAGGGUGAUUGGUGGACGACCCAGCUCCACCUCGAUCUGCCAUUGAUUGUGCAUAAGAUUCCACACCGAACUUGAGACCAAUCGCCUCGAAUGAUGAGGCCGGUUUUGGUGGCAGGGUGUCGCGACUCUGUUUCCAGAGAAUUAUCUCGAUCAACAGGGCAUGCUGAUGUAUACCGACAUCCCCAGUGUAUCCAAUCCGACGAAAGAUAUGUUUAUAUGUGGAGCGGUUGAUGUCCAGCCUCGACCGGCUGUUUAUGGAGGGUCUAGAUUCCACGCCAUCAUCUAGAUGGAUCAGCUUCUCAGAGACCUCUCCUCUGCUUGUGGAUGCGUAGAUGUGGCGGGGCCAACAGAUUGCUGCGACCCACUCAGUCUUUUCUGGACAGAUCAUUGUACUCCCAAGCGAUACCAGUUGAUCGAGCACUCAGAGACGCAACAAGCCUUUGUUGGGGUUGGCUGCUAGUAUGUGAAACACCUGGGCGACUUCCUUGCUCUCUUCCAAGAACUUGACCGCGAGGUCCUUGCCCAGAAUAUCGCAUCCAGAUGCAAAACCUAGAGCCCUGACAAUGUCUUUCAUCAUGUUUUGGCAGUUGGUGCUCCAAAGGUCCCUGAGUUGUUACUGCAAUUCGACUUCCGGAACACAAGCAAUGGUGGCCUCAGAAUAUUCAAGGGUGGAAGUGGUAUCCUUUUCAAGUGUCCUAAGUCUGAUGUAGUCCGGGAUUUUAUAGUUGGGUGUGGACCCCGAGCGUCAUCGAGACCUGCUGGAACUGGACCACCUGGUUUUGAGGUGGUUGAGGACAACUUUAGAUGAUAGACUGACUCAAUCAGCAAGUUCUACAGUCCUAGUAGUAUCUCUAGAUAGAGCUAAAUUGCUAAUCUCUGUACCCGUCAUGAGCUAAUUGUAAUCUCUGCUUGCUUAGUUUAUGAAGGCAAUUAUAAAAUUCUUUUCGCAUUU